GGUAAGGGUUGAACAGCUUCUUUCAGCUGGUGAAGUUACCGAGCCCUUGCGCAGGUCAGCUGCGCUGGGUCACAUCAGGUGGUCUGCGUGAAAAAGAAUCGAUUGUUUCAGUCUGUUGUGUGCCGCACUGGAUUCCUGCUCCUACGCCUCGCCUCCAUCUUCCCCCCCCUGUCAAUGCAUUAGGAAGAAGAGAAGGUUGAUGCUGCCACAGCGACUUCCCCUACUAAUUGCAGAUCUUGAAUCACCGCGGCUGCCACCACCGGCCCUUCUACCGCCGGUGCUGACACCACCACAGCA